GUGGGGAAUAUUGCACAAUGGGCGAAAGCCUGAUCCAGCCAUGCCGCGUGUGUGAAGAAGGCCUUCGGGUUGUAAAGCACUUUAAGCGAGGAGGAAAGGUUGAAGGUUAAUACCCUUUAGCUGUGACGUUACUCGCAGAAUAAGCACCGGCAAACUUCGUGCCAGCAGCCGCGGUAAUACGAAGGGUGCAAGCGUUACUCGGAAUUACUGGGCGUAAAGCGCGCGUAGGUGGUUAAGUAAGAGAUCUGUGAAAGCCCCGGGCUCAACCUGGGAAUUGCAGGUCGAAAUGCUUGGCUAGGGUAGGGGAGAGGGGUGUGGAAUUCCAGGUGUAGCGGUGAAAUGCGUAGAUAUCUGGAGGAACAUCAGUGGCGAAGGGGACACCCUGGACCGAUACUGACACUGAGGUGCGAAAGCGUGGUAGCGAACAGGAUUAGAAACCCGAGUAGUCC
rnacentral:rRNA from 1 species